CCUACGGGUGGCAGCAGUGAGGAAUAUUGGUCAAUGGACGAGAGUCUGAACCAGCCAAGUAGCGUGAAGGAUGACUGCCCUAUGGGUUGUAAACUUCUUUUAUAAAGGAAUAAAACGAGGCACGUGUGCCUUUUUGCAUGUACUUUAUGAAUAAGGAUCGGCUAACUCCGUGCCAGCAGCCGCGGUAAUACGGAGGAUCCGAGCGUUAUCCGGAUUGAUUGGGUUUAAAGGGAGCGUAGGUGGGGUGUUAAGUCAGUUGUGCAAGUUUGCGGCUCAACCGUAAAAUUGCAAUUGAUACUGGCAGUCUUGAGUACAGUUGAGGUAGGCGGAAUUCGUGGUGUAGCGGUGAAAUGCUUAGAUAUCACGAAGAACCCCGAUUGCGAGGGCAGCUUACUAAACUGUGACUGACAUUGAUGCUCGAAAGUGUGGGUAUCAAACAGGAUUAGAUACCCUAGUAGUC
rnacentral:rRNA from 1 species